GUGAUUGGUUAAACUGUGGUCCAUUCUACCAUGGAAUAUUAUUCAUCAAUAAAAUUAAAUGAACUGGCCAGGCACAGUGUCUCAUGCCUGUAAUCUCAGCACUUUGGGAGGCCAAGGUGGGUGAAUCACGAGAUCAAGAGAUCGAGACCGUCCUGGCGAAACACCGUCUCUAUUGAAAAUACAAAAAUUAGUUGGGCGUGGUGGUGUGCACCUGUAAUCUCAGCCACUCGGGAGGCUGAGGCAGGUUAAUCACUUCAACCAGGAGGGGGAGGUUGCAGAGAGCCGAGAUUGUGCCACUGCACUCCCAACCAGGGGAUAGAGCAAGACUCUGUCUCAAAAAAUAAAAGAAGAGAAACCAACAAACAAACAAACAAAAAGGAAUGAACUACUGACAUAUACAACAAAGUGGACAACGGACUUACCAGUGACUUAUGCUUAGUGAAAAAGGUAAAUCCCAAAAGGUUACAUUAUACAAUUCAAUUUAUAUAACACUUUUGAAAUGACAAAUUUAUAAAAGUCUAUUACAGAUGUGUGGUUAACAGAAGUUAAGAAUGGAGGAAGGCAAGACGAUGAGUGGAAAGUGAAAGUGGCUUUCAAAGAACAAGCCAGGAGUCCUUGUGGUGAUGGAGAUGUUCUGUAUCUUGACUCUUCAAUGAUAAUCUCCUCAUUGUGGUAUCACUCUGGAUCUACAGGAUGCAGCCACUGGGAAGAAUAUGGGUCUGCGUGAAUCCCGGAGCAGUGUUCUCAGCUGUGACAGCAAAGUGGGAUCACCCGGAGAAACUGGAAGAACAUACCGAAGCCUGUGCCCCACACCUGGGGAUCCUGAUUGAAAGCAGAAGCAAAGCCAUCAACUGGAGAAGAAGCUGUUGGAUGUUUGAGAAGAAGACAGCUAUGUAA
rnacentral:lncRNA from 13 species